rnacentral:rRNA from 1 species
GACGAACGCUGUUCGGCGUGCUUAACACAUGCAAGUCGAACGGAAAGGCCCUGCUUUUGUGGGGUGCUCGAGUGGCGAACGGGUGAGUAACACGUGAGUAACCUGCCCUUGACUUUGGGAUAACUUCAGGAAACUGGGGCUAAUACCGGAUAGGAGCUCCUGCUGCAUGGUGGGGGUUGGAAAGUUUCGGCGGUUGGGGAUGGACUCGCGGCUUAUCAGCUUGUUGGUGGGGUAGUGGCUUACCAAGGCUUUGACGGGUAGCCGGCCUGAGAGGGUGACCGGCCACAUUGGGACUGAGAUACGGCCCAGACUCCUACGGGAGGCAGCAGUGGGGAAUAUUGCACAAUGGGCGGAAGCCUGAUGCAGCAACGCCGCGUGCGGGAUGACGGCCUUCGGGUUGUAAACCGCUUUCGCCUGUGACGAAGCGUGAGUGACGGUAAUGGGUAAAGAAGCACCGGCUAACUACGUGCCAGCAGCCGCGGUGAUACGUAGGGUGCGAGCGUUGUCCGGAUUUAUUGGGCGUAAAGGGCUCGUAGGUGGUUGAUCGCGUCGGAAGUGUAAUCUUGGGGCUUAACCCUGAGCGUGCUUUCGAUACGGGUUGACUUGAGGAAGGUAGGGGAGAGUGGAAUUCCUGGUGGAGCGGUGGAAUGCGCAGAUAUCAGGAGGAACACCAGUGGCGAAGGCGGUUCUCUGGGCCUUUCCUGACGCUGAGGAGCGAAAGCGUGGGGAGCGAACAGGCUUAGAUACCCUGGUAGUCCACGCUGUAAACGGUGGGUACUAGGUGUGGGGUCCAUUCCACGGGUUCCGUGCCGUAGCUAACGCUUUAAGUACCCCGCCUGGGGAGUACGGCCGCAAGGCUAAAACUCAAAGGAAUUGACGGGGCCCCGCACAAGCGGCGGAGCAUGCGGAUUAAUUCGAUGCAACGCGUAGAACCUUACCUGGGUUUGACAUGGAUCGGGAGUGCUCAGAGAUGGGUGUGCCUCUUUUGGGGUCGGUUCACAGGUGGUGCAUGGCUGUCGUCAGCUCGCGUCGUGAGAUGUUGGGUUAAGUCCCGCAGCGAGCGCAACCCUUGUUCACUGUUGCCAGCACGUUAUGGUGGGGACUCAGUGGAGACCGCCGGGGUCAACUCGGAGGAAGGUGGGGAUGACGUCAAGUCAUCAUGCCCCUUAUGUCCAGGGCUUCACGCAUGCUACAAUGGCUGGUACAGAGAGUGGCGAGCCUGUGAGGGUGAGCGAAUCUCGGAAAGCCGGUCUCAGUUCGGAUUGGGGUCUGCAACUCGACCUCAUGAAGUCGGAGUCGCUAGUAAUCGCAGAUCAGCAACGCUGCGGUGAAUACGUUCCCGGGGCU